AUUUUUUUUGUAGUUGGUGUAGCUCAUAUUUUUGAUAAUAUGAUUUUCUAUGUAUCUCGCGUUUUUUGAAUUGUUUGUAUUAUUUGAUUUGCUUAUCAUUUGUUUAUGUUUUUUUAUUCCUUUUGAGAUUAUAUUUGUGUUUUUAAUAGCGUUGUAUUAAUUUUCUGUGUCUUAAUCCUUUAGUGCAAUUCUAACUUUUUUCUUUUUUAUGGUUUAUGUAAUAGGAGUAUUGUCUAUAUUAGGAUCUCUGAUCGGGAAAUUCUUAAAAUAUGGUAACUGGAGAUGAUGUUAGGCCGAUGAUGCUAAGGUAAAAACCACAAUCCGAU
rnacentral:lncRNA from 1 species